UCAAGUGUUGUAGUAGUAUGGCGGAUUCAGAUGAAGAAUUAGAGUUUAUUCCAACCGAAAAAGAAGUUCAACGUGUCACAUGUGUUUGUGGGUCACCUAUAACAGAAGCAGAAUUGUUACAAUGCUCAUCGGCAGAUUGCACGCAGCAAUGGUAUCAUCGGGAAUGCGUUUUCGGCCCAGCAGCAGACACCGCAGGCUCAACCUCAGCGGCCAGCUCGAGCGUCGAUCCGUUUGCAAACGAGUACGACUAAGAGAAUUGGAUUUGUGACAUGUGUGUCAUGCAGGCAGCAGAACAAAAAAUUGGUAGUGAUUCUGCCCAGAAACAGGACAAACCUGAAAAUUCCGAGGGUGUGCACCAGGAUACCAACACUAACAGUGGUAUCAAACAAA